rnacentral:rRNA from 1 species
UACAGAGGGUGCAAGCGUUAAUCGGAGUUACUGGGCGUAAAGGGCGCGUAGGCGGUUAGUUAAGAUAGAUGUGAAAGCCCUGGGCUUAACCUAGGAACGGCAUCUGUGACUGGCUAGCUGGAGUAUUGUAGAGGGUAGUGGAAUUUCCGGUGUAGCGGUGAAAUGCGUAGAGAUCGGAAGGAACACCAGUGGCGAAGGCGGCUACCUGGACAAAUACUGACGCUGAGGCGCGAGAGCGUGGGGAGCAAACAGG